rfam:Camelus ferus unplaced genomic scaffold scaffold81, whole genome shotgun sequence.
AUAGCUCAGUGGUAGAGCACAUGCUUAGCAUGCACAAGGUCCUGGGUUCAAUCCCCAGU